rnacentral:rRNA from 1 species
AGUGAACGCUGGCGGUAGGCCUAACACAUGCAAGUCGAACGGCAGCACAGUAAGAGCUUGCUCUUACGGGUGGCGAGUGGCGGACGGGUGAGGAAUACAUCGGAAUCUACUUUUUCGUGGGGGAUAACGUAGGGAAACUUACGCUAAUACCGCAUACGACCUACGGGUGAAAGCAGGGGAUCUUCGGACCUUGCGCGAUUGAAUGAGCCGAUGUCGGAUUAGCUAGUUGGCGGGGUAAAGGCCCACCAAGGCGACGAUCCGUAGCUGGUCUGAGAGGAUGAUCGGCCACCCUGGACCUGGGCCACGUUCCAGCUCCUUACGGGAGGCGGCGUUGGGGAUUAUUGGCCAAUGGGCGCAACCCUGUCCCAGCCUUCCGGCUGGGGUGAAGAAGGCCUUCGGUUUGUAAAGCCUUUUUGUUGGGAAAGAAAACCGCCAGUUUAAUACCCCGCUGUUCUGCCGUAACCCAAAGAAUAAGCCCCGCCUACCUUCUG